GCCGAGGCAGCGGGGCGGGCAGGAUCGGGCCCGUGCCCCUCUCCGCUUCUCUCGGAUCCAAUUCGGCUCCGCGUGAUGGUGCCCGAACUAGGGCCGUGGCUGCUGGCAUUGGCCUUGGGGCUGGCAGGGGUGUGGGCGCAGCUCAGGCUGGAGGAGGCCGGCGGAGGGCUGCGAGCGCCCGGGGACUCCGUGCUCCUCUCGUGCCGCGGAUACGGCUUCCGCUUUGGAAGUUAUGAGCUUCUGUGGUACCGUCGGGCGCCCGGAGGCAGACUCGAGUGGGUGUCCUUCUCGAGAGGCUACUCGGAUAGCGCGGAAUACGCAGCAGCGGUGGAAGGUCGAGCCACUGUCUCCCGGGACAAUUCCCGGUCUGAGGCAUAUCUGUCCCUGCGUGCCCUGCAGCCUCAGGACUCUGCCCGCUACUUUUGCGCUGUACACACGGAAUCAGGAAAAGCAGCUGAGCUUUAACAUAAACCUGCUGCGCCCAGCCCAAUUUUUAGAGAGUUGCCAUAGUCGAGGAGGGGGUGUGAGGCUUAGAGCAAUUCUCUUGGAUUGAGGUGCUGUCACUUCCCUCCCACAGUAUACAGUCCUUUAUGAACAUUGUGGUACCUCCCCAUGGGAUACAGUCGUUCAGAAACAGACUGCUCCAGUGUGGACCACUCAAAGGCCACAGAUCCUUCCUGAAAGCCUGCUCUUCCCUGGGCUCUUUAAGUGCACCGGGUUCUUUCAGGGUAUAUCCAGCUUACACGCACAGGGUCCUCCAUGGGCUGCAGCGGGACAA